rnacentral:tRNA from 1 species
GCAUUCUAAGCUGACUCGGUAGUAGCGGUUGCCUGAAAAGCAACAGGACUUGGUUCGACUCCAAGAGAUUGCGCCA